rnacentral:pre_miRNA from 1 species
GUCUUGCAUGAAGAGGUAGAGAGAGUGCUUUUGAGCCAAGGAUGACUUGCCGGCGUAAUUACGGGUAUUGCCAGCGAGACAUCCUUGUUCACUUAUGCUCUCUUUUCACUCAUAUAAGAC